rnacentral:lncRNA from 1 species
UGUGCAGGACCAGGGACUGCAGGAGGUUGAGAGGCUGCAGCGCAGGCCGGGACCUGGUGCCUGUGCACAGCUCAAGCAGGUGCUGGAAGAGCUGGUGGCUGGGAGCAGAACCUUUUGGCUAAGCAAGGACAGCGACUUCUGCGGGGCCUGAGACGGAGCAACGUGCAAAAGAAGGUGGCAUUGGCCAAAAAGCUCCUGGGAAAACUGCGCUUUCUGGCUCAGGAGGACUUGCCGGAGCAGCCUCACUUGCAGCCCCCACUCAGCAUCCUGGUGAUUGAGCGCCGGGCCUUUGGCCGCACAGUCCUUGUGGGUUCCACAUUGUCCCCCAUAUGCUGCGAUUCACAUUUCGGGGACACGAGGAUUCUCCUGAGGAGGAAGGAGUGA